rnacentral:tRNA from 1 species
AAGGGGGUAGUUCAAAUGGUAGAAUAAUGGUCUCCAAAACCAUAGGCUAAGGGUUCGAGUCCCUUCUCCCUUG